GAAGGUUCAUCCACCCAGGGUAAGUCGGGACCUAAGCCGAGGACUGAGGUCGUAGGCGAUGGACAGCAGGUAGAGAUUCCUGCACCACUUACACUUGUUUGACGAAGCAGUGACACAGAAGGAUAGGACGAGCGCGGUGAUGGUCAACCGCGUAGGCGGCACGAGGCCGGGAAGCAGUGAAGUACACUUCCCGCAAAGGCUGAGUGUUGACAGGACCGAAAAGAAGUAGGGAAGCGUCCGAGUUCACGCUGGCGAGAAAAGCUGCUAAGGAGAGUGUGAGUGCCCGUACCGGAAACCGACGCAGGUGGGCGAGGAGAGAAUCCUGAGACGGACGGGAGAACUCUUGUUAAGGAACUCGGCAAAAUGACCCCGUAACUUCGGGAGAAGGGGUGCCUCGAAAGAGGCCGCAGAGAAUAGUCACAAGCGACUGUUUAGCAAAAACACAGGUAUCUGCGAAAGCGAGAGCUGACGUAUAGGUGCUGACGCCUGCCCGGUGCUGGAAGGUUAAGGGGAAGUGUUAGGGGAAACCCGAAGCAGAGAACCGAAGCCCCAGUAAACGGCGGCCGUAACAAUAACGGUCCUAAGGUAGCGAAAUUCCUUGUCGGGUAAGUUCCGACCCGCACGAAUGGCGUAACGACUUGUGAGCUGUCUCAACAGGAGGCCCGGUGAAAUUGAAGUAUGUGUGAAGAUGCACAUUACCCGCGACUGGACGGAAAGACCCCGUAGAGCUUUACUGUAACCUGACAUUGGAUCUUGAUAACGGAUGCACAGGAUAGGUGGGACGCUGGGAGACGAGGACUUUGGUUUUCGUGGAGCGGCCGUUGGGAUACCACUCUUCUGUUAUUGAGAUUCUAACCUCAAGCCGUGAGCCGGAUGAGAGACAGUGUCAGGCGGACAGUUUGACUGGGGCGGUCGCCUCCGAAAGAGUAACGGAGGCGCCCAAAGGUACCCUCAGAAUGGAUGGAAACCAUUCGAAGAGAGCAAAGUCAGAAGGGUGCUUGACUGCGAGACCAACAGGUCGAGCAGGUACGAAAGUAGGGCUUAGUGAUCCGGCGGUAAGAGAGUGGAAUUGCCGUCGCUCAACGGAUAAAAGCUACCUCGGGGAUAACAGGCUGAUCUCCCCCAAGAGUUCACAUCGACGGGGAGGUUUGGCACCUCGAUGUCGGCUCGUCGCAUCCUGGGGCUGAAGCAGGUCCCAAGGGUUUGGCUGUUCGCCAAUUAAAGCGGCACGCGAGCUGGGUUCAGAACGUCGUGAGACAGUUCGGUCCCUAUCCAUCGUGGGCGAAGGACACAUGAGAGGAGCUGCUCCUAGUACGAGAGGACCGGAGUGGACGCAUCACUGGUGCAACUGUUGUCGUGCCAACGGCACAGCAGGGAAGCGAAAUGCGGACGGGAUAAACGCUGAAGGCAUCUAAGCGUGAAGCCCACCUCAAGAAUAAGUGUCCCAUUCGAAAGAAGUAAGACCCCUGGAAGACUACCAGGUGAUAGGUCAUCGGUGAAAGAGUGGUAACAUUUGGAGCUUGAUGAUACUAAUCGGUCGAGGACUUGAU
rnacentral:rRNA from 1 species